rnacentral:rRNA from 1 species
UAACACAUGCAAGUCGAGCGAGAAAGCACUUCGGUGUGAGUAGAGCGGCGGACGGGUGAGUAACGCGUAGGAAUUUGCCCAGUAGUGGGGGACAACAUGUGGAAACGCAUGCUAAUACCGCAUACGCCCUAUGGGGGAAAGCAGGGGAUCUUCGGACCUUGCGCUAUUGGAGAAGCCUGCGUCGGAUUAGCUAGUUUGGUGGGGUAAAGGCCACCAAGGCGACGAUCCGUAGCUGGUCUGAGAGGAUGAUCAGCCACACUGGGACUGAGACACGGCCCAGACUCCUACGGGAGGCAGCAGUGGGGAAUAUUGGACAAUGGGGGCAACCCUGAUCCAGCCAUGCCGCGUGUGUGAAGAAGGCCUUAGGGUUGUAAAGCACUUUCAGUAGGGAGGAAAAGUUAAUGGUUAAUAAACUUGGUAAUUGACGUUAACCACAGAAGAAGGACCGGCUAACUCCGUGCCAGCAGCCGCGGUAAUACGGAGGGUCCGAGCGUUAAUCGGAAUUACUGGGCGUAAAGCGCGCGUAGGUGGUUGUGUAAGUGGAAUGUGAAAGCCCUGGGCUCAACCUGGGAACUGCAUACGAAACUGCGUAGGUAAGGUGGAUGUGAAAGCCCCGGGCUUAACCUGGGAACUGCAGUUGAUACUGCGCAACUAGAGUACGAUAGAGGGGGGUAGAAUUUCAGGUGUAGCGGUGAAAUGCGUAGAGAUCUGAAGGAAUACCAGUGGCGAAGGCGGCCCCCUGGAUUGAUACUGACACUGAGGUGCGAAAGCGUGGGUAGCAAACAGGAUUAGAUACCCUGGUAGUCCAUGCCGUAAACGAUGUCAACUAGCUGUUGGAAGACUUGAUCUUUUAGUGGCGCAGCUAACGCAAUAAGUUGACCGCCUGGGGAGUACGGCCGCAAGGUUAAAACUCAAAUGAAUUGACGGGGGCCCGCACAAGCGGUGGAGCAUGUGGUUUAAUUCGAAGCAACGCGAAGAACCUUACCUACUCUUGACAUCCCCAGAACUUUCCAGAGAUGGAUUGGUGCCUUCGGGAACUCUGAGACAGGUGCUGCAUGGCUGUCGUCAGCUCGUGUUGUGAAAUGUUGGGUUAAGUCCCGUAACGAGCGCAACCCUUAUCCUUAGUUACCAGCACGUAAUGGUGGGAACUCUAAGGAGACUGCCGGUGACAAACCGGAGGAAGGUGGGGAUGACGUCAAGUCAUCAUGGCCCUUACGAGUAGGGCUACACACGUGCUACAAUGGCCGGUACAGAGGGCUGCAAACCUGCGAAGGUAAGCUAAUCUCACAAAACCGGUCGCAGUCCGGAUCGGAGUCUGCAACUCGACUCCGUGAAGUCGGAAUCGCUAGUAAUCGUGGAUCAGAAUGCCACGGUGAAUACGUUCCCGGGCCUUGUACACACCGCCCGUCACACCAUGGGAGUGGAUUGCACCAGAAGUAGAUAGUCUAACCUUCGGGAGG